ACAUUUUCGGGGAAGAGCAAACCCAGUCACCAAAGACCAAGGGCAAACUUAGGGGUAAACCUGCCAAACCCGACCCAAAAGCCGGAAAGGUUGUGUACGGUGGAUGAGAUCUCGCUCGGAUCAUUAUGAGCCACUCUUUGCUGGCCACGAAGGCUAUCCUAGAAAAGGAGUUACCCGAAAUGGUCGUUCAGGUUGUGGCCAACGCAUUCAACCCAUUGGAAGAAGGCCUGGAAGUUAGCCCUCGAUUACGUGGGUUUCCCACCCGUUCCAACGGGUUGUCCUGUCUCAAUCACCCCCGGUUGUUGCUUAUCACCCAGAGAAGCAUCACCUUCUGGGAGAUUUGGACCGCCACGGAAGGAUCAUCAAUGUGGGAGUGGCGUCAAGAUCUGUCAUGCCACAGAGCCCAGGAGCUUGGUCUCUUGUGGCAAUUACUCUUUCCACCCAAAGCGGAAUGCCCAUCCCAUUCGACCGCCACCCCUACCCCCACCCCCGCCCCCGCCAACUUGGCUGUUUCUAUUACGGAUGCCACGCGAGAAGAAGUGGACAAAGAAGAUUUCGGAAGCGAGGACGAUGAAGAAGCCCUACCCACGCAUCGGGGACAGCUUCCUGCCGAUCGCUCACAAUGCUACCUCUGCGGGAAAAUGAUGAAGAAGAAGUCUUUGAGUCUGCAUGUGAAGCUUGUCCAUCAUGGUGAGCGCCUCAGGCGAUUGGAAUGUCCCCAUUGUCAGAAGGUCUACAAGACACAAAACGCCCUAGUCAAACACAGUCGGAUACAUAGCGGAGAACGACCCUAUUGUUGUUCUAUAUGUGGCAAAACCUAUCGCGAUAAUGAUUUGUGGAACAACUGUCAAAGGCGGUGUAGCGGCAAUUUUCGGUACCGUUGCGGGAUUUGUGACAAGCAAUUUAACAGCAAGUUUCGACUGAACAAUCAUGAGCUGGUCCACAGUGGCGAAAAACCUUACCGAUGUCCCUUAUGCCCCUAUCGGUGUAACAGAAAAGAUAAUUUAGCCCUACAUGUCAAGAAGAAGCACGACUCGGAUUUGAAGGCGGCAGAGGUCGAAUGUGGAAGGAAAUGCGACGACGGCGAUACCUGAACGAGGUUUAGGUGAGGACAUUUUGCCGUUCCGAACACGACCUACCCGAAAAGUCGAUAAUACCACGGUGUCCCGGAGCCUUAUUCAUGUUCCGUGUUUUGGCAACCGUUUGGUGGUUGCCCAUCUAAUCGACAGACUCUCAAAUGUCUUGUUUGAAGUGGUGCAUUAUAUUUAUUAGGCUUUGGCACACUGUGAUAUCUCACUCCAAUCUAGCCCAGUGUCUGCUGG